AACUUUGCACAGUGGCAGUAUUGUAGUCAAUGAAGUUUAUCUGAAGCUCAAUUAUUGCUAAUUGAAAAGUUUGCACAUCUAUGCCAUAUAUCACUACUACUGGAUAUCCAUAUAUAACAAAAAUUUUUAAAGAUGUGUGGGAAUA
ensembl:snRNA U4 U4 spliceosomal RNA